GAACUCGGAAGAAACAGAAUCCAGAUUUACCUGUACCUGGAGCUCCACAGGUGAAACGGCAGUUAAAGCAGAAAAUCUAAUUCAGCUUCUGGAAGUUUUCGUCUCUAAUGGACUCCGGAGUCAUCUCCUGAGCUGUCAGUUUUUGGCCUUGAGGCGCAUGGGAUCUUGGCUGCCUGACCAGGGAUCUAACCCCUUGGUGGAUCUAACCUCCUGCGCUGGAAGGUGAAGUACGACCCUUCUGGACCACCAGGGAAGUCCCUGUAUUCGAUUUCUUAACUGCCAAGAUGUUGUUUCCUUUUUCCUUAAGGUUGAGGUAUUAUCUUUUCCUUGAUUGGAACAGGAAGAUUAAGUCAUUAGCUUCAAAUCUUUUAACCAGCAUAUGGUGAAGACUAGAUUCCGACCCAGUCCUGCCUGACCCCAGAGCCACGCCCUUAGCUGCC